UGGGGUGUAGCUCAGGAGGAGAGCACUUGCCUUGCAUAUGUGAGGCACUGGGUUCGAUUCUCAGCACCACAU
rfam:Ictidomys tridecemlineatus contig040615, whole genome shotgun sequence.